AAAAAAAUGAAUGAGGUGGAUUGUUCAGUGUAUAUUAAUUAUUUAUUUUCAUUUUACUUAAAAUAUAUGUUUUUGUUAAGUUAACAUAUGUUUUUCUAAUCAAGUCUACGUAAUUGUGUCUAUUAUUCACUGUACAUAAUACUAAUGUGUUACUUGAUGGCAUAACAUUUAAGUUAAGUCAAUUAGGAUCAAUAUACUUUGUAUAUCCACAAGGUGGCAGUAAUGCAAAAACAGUUGUAAUGAAGCCGCGAAGAACAACAAGGUUUCACGGCUUGGGCCUGCUCAUGCGCAAGACUUCAAAUUUAACUUAAAAACGUUGUUUUGGCGCCAAGCUGCUGUUUCUUUGGGAGGUAAGACCAGUUUUUUCUUUGACUAUGUUGUUUAGUAUCUACAUGUCGAGCAUGGUUAUAUUUUGCGUUUGUCUUAUAAGACAUGUUAUAUCGUUUGCGUGCGCUUGUUCUACAUUAGUUUUACUGGGUCCUGGACAUGCUUAACAUGCUUAUUUUGUGGACUGUGUAAGAAACAUUUUUAUUGUUUUUGGUUUUAUUAAGGGAUUAGCUACAGGGGUUCAUGGGGUUAUUUUUUCAUUUGCUUUCUUGGGAUUCCUUUACUGUAAUCCGAGAGUCAUAAAUAUCGAAUAGGAUAGCAAGGAUAGCAUAAAGUGACAUUUAAAAUCCAAAAAGUCGAGGGCGAAAGCCACUGUGACACCAUUGUUAUGCUCUAUCAGUAAUCUGUAUUAUGUAAAAAUGGUCUGUAAAUACAGCAUGUUUCCUAGCGGAGUUAUACAGAUCAGCAUAGUUAUAAAUUACAGUUUGUUAAAUCACACACUUACUUUUUUAAAUAAAAUUAUUCACGACAUAUGAGUGGACAGACAAUGGAGGCCGACAGACCUGGUGAUAAUUGCUUCUAUAGAAAGUUAGCACAGCAGUGUCAAUCUCUUUUCUUCUGAGUAGUAUUUUAUUUAGUUGUAAUACAAUCAAUAAUUUGCUUCUUGAAAUUAAGUAAUGAAUUUCUUGUUUUACUGUAUAAAUUUCAGAUCCUGCCUUUACCUGCUCCCUCCUAUAUUGAUGUGGUGUAUGUGGUACCCCUGAGCUUGUAUGUGAUCUGAACCAUUGUAAAGGUUGCAGUUCAAAGACCUCAGGUGGAAGCAGAAUUUGUGAGGAUUACUACUGCUCCACUUGUUCCAAGGCUUUUUGCACAACUUGACCAAUACACUGACCAGCUCAUAAAAGUCUUCAAGAAAAAAGGAGGCACUGCAGGGAAGAAAAUUAGACAAACUUUGGCCCCAGCCACAAAGAAGGAAACUAUUGAAAAGGGGAGGGAGUGUGUCCUCAGGGCACUACCUUUUUACCUGAAUGAAGACCCAAGCAUCCUCUUCAAAGAAUAAUUGCUACAGCUACAGCUGUUCAGAGGGAGCUGGAACAAAUUACCCUUGCUAUCUUCACCAUCGAAAAAGCUGAUGUCAGCACUCCUCCAGCCGAUGUGGGUAUAACCAUCUAGGGUGUUCUGCAUGACCUGGAAGACAUGGCCUCUGCAUGUGCACUCUUAAUGGGUGGGAUAUAUGCACUGAAUCUCAGUUAACCUCGAGACUGAAAGCUUUCUUUGAAGUACUUCAGAAGCUCUUCCUUCAUCUGUAUGUCAGCAGACUCUUGACCAAGGUACAGAUGCUCAAGAAUAAACUGAAUGAAUAAGCCAACCCUUAAUUUGGAUGAUGAAUGUUCUGUCAGAUGGACAGAAGUUUUUCGGAGGCUGAAUGGGAAUAAAACGGUAAUUUGUUGAAAAUGACAGAUAAAGGGAAAAUUACAUUUAAGAGAAAUUUUGAAAAGUUUGUAAACUACUACAAUUUGAGAGAUUUUACUCUUGUGGGUGGAGGGGGGGCUAGUAAGAGACAAUCAAAAGUAUUGAGAUUUAAAGGAUUUAAUUGAGAGAUGAUACUGCACCAGAAAUGUUGAAGGGUGGUGUGUAUAUUAGCGUUCAAGGUAUAUUGUUAUGAGGUGGAAAUAUGUUCAUAUUCUGUUUGUGUUACAUUGUGUGCAUUGUAAAGGUAAUUGCAAUACAUACUAAGAAUAAGGGUAAGUUAGGAAUGCAGGAUGAAUGUAUAUUUUGCAGACUUUUAAAGACGAACAAUUGUUUCCAUGUUAAAAUGUUUACAACCCAAGUUUUUUGCCCAAACACUGGUAAAAUAAACGUUGAGGGUGGCAAGUGUUAAAUGGUUACUGCUGUGCUGUUGCAAAAAAACUGAACGCUGACAAGCUGUUUUAUUGUUAGACCAUAAUGCUGGCAUGUUUUAUUAAAGUUUUAUUUGGGAUGGUGAUAUAAUUUUCUUUGAUUGCUAAUAUCAGUGGACUAUUUAUUAUUAUUAUUAUCAUUAUUAUUAUUAUU